UUGAAAGGCAGGAAGUAACAAUUCUGGGUCACUAUCUUUUCCAAGCUCUUCUUUGAGUUUUAGUAACAGAUUGGUUGCUUUAUUCUUUGAGAUCUGAAAAUGAAUGAAGAAAUUGGUGGCAGUGAAGUGCACGAGAUUAUGUGCCAUGCCAUUUGUUCUCAUAGAAUAAUUGAGGAAAUUAGAAAAAAAGGCAAAAUUCAAUGUUUUCUUAAAAAAAUGACUACAAAACUCUUUGCAAGAGUUCACAGCAAACUUCAAAUAAAUAGAGAAGAUGUCAACUACAAAAUUGCUAAGGGAGGAACUUAGGACACUGACUCUGAGGGCUUAGGUGUUAGCAGAUUAGGGGCACAUGAGUCUGGAUUUUGGGGCUUGUCUUCCAUGAUUGGGAGAAAAAGGAAAGUCUGAGUGAGAAACACAGUGAGAGCCAGAGUAUCCAGGAUCGUCUGCAACAUUAUACAUUACAGGAGGACUCGACUACAAGAAAACUCAGUGUUGCUGAGAGCACCCAAGAGGAAGCAGAGGAGGACUCAAGUACAAGAAAACUCAGUGUUGCUGAGAGCACCCAAGAGGAAAAAGAGGAGGACUCAAGUACAAGAAAACUCACUGUUGCUGAGAGCACCCAAGAGGAAACAGAGGAGGACUCAUCUUCAAGAAAACUCAGUGCUGCUGAGAGUACCCAAGAGGAAAAAGAGGAGGACUCAUCUUCAAGAAAACUCAGUGCUGCUGAGAGUACCCAAGAGGAAAAAGAGGAGGACUCAUCUUCAAGAAAACUCAGUGCUGCUGAGAGUACCCAAGAGGAAAAAGAGGAGGACUCAUCUUCAAGAAAACUCAGUGCUGCUGAGAGUACCCAAGAGGAAAAAGAGGAGGACUCAUCUUCAAGAAAACUCAGUGCUGCUGAGAGUACCCAAGAGGAAAAAGAGGAGGACUCAUCUUCAAGAAAACUCAGUGCUGCUGAGAGUACCCAAGAGGAAAAAGAGGAGGACUCAUCUUCAAGAAAACUCAGUGCUGCUGAGAGUACCCAAGAGGAAAAAGAGGAGGACUCAUCUUCAAGAAAACUCAGUGCUGCUGAGAGUACCCAAGAGGAAAAAGAGGAGGACUCAUCUUCAAGAAAACUCAGUGCUGCUGAGAGUACCCAAGAGGAAAAAGAGGAGGACUCACCUACAAGAAAACUCAGUGCUGCUGAGAGCACCCAAGAGGAAAAAGAGGUGAGCAGGACUAAAAGCAACAAAAUGGUGGGGAGGGAGAACACAUCUGCACAGUUAUUCUACAUUGCGGCUACCCAUUCUUUGUCACAGAAUUAUAACUUUACAGUAGGAAUAAAAGCCCCAAAGUAAUUUGACCAAGAUGAUUCUUGGCCUUGCUGGUUAGCAUUCAACCCUACUUACCCUCCCAACAAGGAAAGCUUGAACUUUCUUGGCACAUUCUCUGAAAAAGAGUGUAUUUCUUCUCCAAUCAGAGAAAGGGGUUUUUCAAGGUUCAGUCACAAAAAUAACCAGUCAAAAGCUACAUUCAGCCUGACCCUACCUAAUGCAACCUCUGAUUUCAGAUUGACUACCGAGGUGGUUGCUUGGUUAUUUUAAAGGUGAAAUUCAGGUAGAAAGG
ensembl:lncRNA